rnacentral:lncRNA from 1 species
CAUGGGACCUCCUGGUGGCUCUCGGGAGAAGGCUGGCAUGCAUGCCGGAGUCGGCCAGGCCGUGUCUCAGCUUCCUGUGCUGAGGUGUGAUUUCCCAACACCACACUCACGCUUGCUGUAGCCUCCGCCACGAGGGGACCCAGUCAGGGGCCUCCCCAGAGCCGAUCGCCAUGGGCACACACCCUGGGCCCUCGGGAUGGGGGCCAAACAGCCCUCUUCUUCCCUCGCAGCCUCCUUGGAUGUUUCAAAGUGCUGACUUCUGGACGAAAGGUGACCUACCCAAGGAGUCCAGAUGCCAGAGAUGCUUUCCUGUGACUUGGAGAACGGAUUGCAAAACUUUAGGGAAUGGGCGCGUCACAGAGGAUCUGCUGAGCGGCUCACUGUGUUCAUUGCAUUCACUCGCUGAGUGGGCUCAGAGGACACAUUUGCCUGGUGCCGAGGAAUCGAGGAAUGUUGGCAAUGUUGGCACGUGCUGUGAUGGCCACGGGUGGCUGGAUCCUCGGUCUUCAGGUGCUGCCCUGAUUUCAGGGAGCGCAAGGAGCUCCUACAGAUGGCAGAGGCCAAGCAGUGGCUCCUAAGUGCCAAAG